rnacentral:tRNA from 2 species
AGAAACUUAGGCUAGCACAGACCAAAGGCCUUCAAAGCCUUAAGCGGAGGUUAAACUCCUUCAGUUUCUG